UCUCCUCUGUGUAGACGUUACAGAAGCUGCAUUGCUAUCAUUAUCUCCACCUAAGUGGCCGCAGAGAAAACUGUAUAACAUCUGAGCGUGACUGGGUCGCCAGCGUGAAUGGUGGCUCAUGCUCGCAGCUCCAGACGAGACAAAAGGUGGUUGAUAAAAAGAAAGGAAACAUCCUGCACUUUCCAAAUCUGUUCUUCAUUUUAGGGGUAUCAAGCGCUCCCUCUUACACGAAGCUGUGAGGGAACGUGAGAAUGUCAAAGGGGCUGACAUUUAUCUGCAGCCCGCCGCCCCCACCACCAAACGCUUUUAAAAAACUUUUCUCAUCCCUGCUCAGGACCCUCGGCUGGAGACGCCGCUUCCUGGCUCUUCAGCGGUCGUGGAUGUUGUUGCCACAGAAACAGCGCGGUGUUGACAUCACAGUGCUUCAAGUGAUCUGCUGUGGAGACCAAAAAGCCAAAGCCUGAUGAUCACCGCCUGAGUCCUCGGAGGUUUGCGAGAAGCUGUUAGCCUCCAGCUGUGGACACAAGCUGAAACGUGCAUGAAACACAGAAGAAGACAAACACACACACACACGCAUACACACACACACACACACACACACACCCUUGUGUUUUGGAGAGAGGAUAAUGACGUGAACUGGCGCAUGUGAUUGUGUCUGUUUAAUGGCUGCAUUGCUGAAACAACACGGGAUGAACUUUGGUCUGUUGUAAACAUUUUACGGGCGUGUAAACAUGCAGUGUGGAAAUGUAUGAUGAGCUGAUUGGGGGGGGGUGGACAUUUUUAAUUAUUACCUUAAAAAGGGAAAAUUCCCCACCUCUGCUGUUUGCUGGAAUAAACAGAAACAAUCCAAAGGCC